rnacentral:tRNA from 1 species
GCGCCGUGUAGGGCGACGGCCAUGGGCUCGUUGAGCGCUGCGACCUCCCACGGCACGUGCUCGGGUAUCACCUCGAGGCUGCGUCCUCGCACCGCGUUC